GCUUGCUGACAUAUGACGAUGUACAUUGCAAAGAGUGGCGAACGGGUGAGUAACACGUGGGAAACCUACCUCUUAGCAGGGGAUAACAUUUGAGAAACAGAUGCUAAUACCGUAUAACAAUGACAACCGCAUGGUUGUUAUUUAAAAGAUGGUUCUGCUAUCACUAAGAGAUGGUCCCGCGGUGCAUUAGCUAGUUGGUAAGGUAAUGGCUUACCAAGGCGAUGAUGCAUAGCCGAGUUGAGAGACUGAUCGGCCACAAUGGGACUGAGACACGGCCCAUACUCCUACGGGAGGCAGCAGUAGGGAAUCUUCCACAAUGGGCGAAAGCCUGAUGGAGCAACGCCGCGUGUGUGAUGAAGGGUUUCGGCUCGUAAAACACUGUUGUAAGAGAAGAAUGACAUUGAGAGUAACUGUUCAAUGUGUGACGGUAUCUUACCAGAAAGGAACGGCUAAAUACGUGCCAGCAGCCGCGGUAAUACGUAUGUUCCAAGCGUUAUCCGGAUUUAUUGGGCGUAAAGCGAGCGCAGACGGUUAUUUAAGUCUGAAGUGAAAGCCCUCAGCUCAACUGAGGAAUUGCUUUGGAAACUGGAUGACUUGAGUGCAGUAGAGGAAAGUGGAACUCCAUGUGUAGCGGUGAAAUGCGUAGAUAUAUGGAAGAACACCAGUGGCGAAGGCGGCUUUCUGGACUGUAACUGACGUUGAGGCUCGAAAGUGUGGGUAGCAAACAGGAUUAGAUACCCUGGUAGUCCACACCGUAAACGAUGAGUGCUAGGUGUUUGAGGGUUUCCGCCCUUAAGUGCCGCAGCUAACGCAUUAAGCACUCCGCCUGGGGAGUACGACCGCAAGGUUGAAACUCAAAGGAAUUGACGGGGACCCGCACAAGCGGUGGAGCAUGUGGUUUAAUUCGAAGCAACGCGAAGAACCUUACCAGGUCUUGACAUCCCUUGACAACUCCAGAGAUGGAGCGUUCCCUUCGGGGACAAGGUGACAGGUGGUGCAUGGUUGUCGUCAGCUCGUGUCGUGAGAUGUUGGGUUAAGUCCCGCAACGAGCGCAACCCUUAUUACUAGUUGCCAGCAUUCAGUUGGGCACUCUAGUGAGACUGCCGGUGACAAACCGGAGGAAGGUGGGGAUGACGUCAAAUCAUCAUGCCCCUUAUGACCUGGGCUACACACGUGCUACAAUGGCGUAUACAACGAGUUGCCAACCCGCGAGGGUGAGCUAAUCUCUUAAAGUACGUCUCAGUUCGGAUUGUAGGCUGCAACUCGCCUACAUGAAGUCGGAAUCGCUAGUAAUCGCGGAUCAGCACGCCGCGGUGAAUACGUUCCCGGGUCUUGUACACACCGCCCGUCACACCAUGAGAGUUUGUAACACCCAAAGCCGGUGGGG
rnacentral:rRNA from 1 species